rnacentral:rRNA from 1 species
UCGGGAAUUUUGGGCAAUGGGCGAAAGCCUGACCCAGCAACGCCGCGUGAAGGAUGAAGUAUUUCGGUAUGUAAACUUCGAAAGAAUAGGAAGAAUAAAUGACGGUACUAUUUAUAAGGUCCGGCUAACUACGUGCCAGCAGCCGCGGUAAUACGUAGGGACCAAGCGUUGUUCGGAUUUACUGGGCGUAAAGGGCGCGUAGGCGGCAAUUCAAGUCAUCUGUGAAAUCUCCGGGCUUAACUCGGAACGGUCAGAUGAUACUGCUUUGCUAGAGUGCAGAAGGGGCAAUCGGAAUUCUUGGUGUAGCGGUGAAAUGCGUAGAUAUCAAGAGGAACACCUGAGGUGAAGACGGGUUGCUGGGCUGUAACUGACGCUGAGGCGCGAAAGCAUGGGGAGCAAACAGGAUUAGAUACCCAAGUAGUCCCUGAGCGGGCUGGCAAGGCGCAU